UCCCCGACCCGCCCUCACCUCUCCGGAGGCGGCGCUUGCGCUCCGGCGGUCCAGGGACCGAGGCCCGCGGCGCCUCCAGGCCGGGACCGCUGACCGCCUCGGAGGGGCGGGGGGCGCGGAGCUGAGCCGGGGGAGUGUCGCCUCCCUGCCCGGUGGCCUGGGAACGCCCCGCCCGAACGUGCUCGGGAAGUGAGGCUCUGCGGCUCCCGCCCGGCCUGGGGAUGUGGGUGACCUUCCUGCCUUCUUCCCAGGCUCUUCUCUGUCUUUCCCGGCGUGGCCCGUCCUGUGUGGCAGAGGACGCCGCCGAGGCGAGUGCACCUGGCCGGCCCGGAGCACAGCAACGCAGGACCUGGGCUGACAACAACGUGACGCUUGAGCGCGUCUUUUCUGCUUUGAUUCUUGCAAACACCUACUUCCACGGAGAUGAGCCCAUUGGGUUUAUGGGAUAAUCGAAAAUCAGACGGAUUAAGUCCAAGUUUCCUGGUCAUCAACUAGUCUGGAAGCAGAUGCUUUUCCUUCUGGUGCAUGGGAACAUCAAUGGUCACCCAAGGCUGCUUGAGGACGCUGGGGUCUUCCCUCCCGCCCCGCGCCUGCUUGAGCUUCUUCUCCUCUCCCAGGCCAUUUUAUCAUCUGCCAUCAUCAUCAUCAGAAGGUUAAUUAUGAGGUGUGUUGGUGAUGGUUUCAGCAGAAGUUAGACCACGGUGGAGCAUUCUAACAAACCUUCCAGGACCUUCUGAGUUGCUUAUGGCUGUGGAGACCCCUGCUUGUUCUUCCUUACUUUGUCAUGUAGCUUCAUAAUAAGUAAGUAAUAUCCAUGUAGAGAACCCAUUUCUCUUCUUUAUAACCUGAAUGAGCACGGUUGUAUGACAGCAUACGGGCCAUCUCUGACACUGCCGUGACAGGAGGGAGAGCUUUAACUAUCCUGCUGGUGGCCCUGUUUUUUUAGUGGUCUUCUUUCCUCCUAAUAAAAACAAAAGAUUCCUUCUAAGAGAUGUUAUUUGAAAUCAAAUUUCUGCAAAUCCAAUCACAUUUUUUAACUGAAAAAUUUUUUUAGUAGAGUAAAUCUUUUUUCCAGAAAAAUUAACAUUUGUUUUCUCCGCACCUUUAUGAAAAUUAUAUCCAGAAUUUAGCCAUUAUUAUUUUUCACCAUUGAUUUAAUGGACAUAUGGGGGAAAAUGUGAUCAAUAAAUACUAAAACCAAAUUAUUUCAUGUCCCUUCUGCUUGAGAUCCAAUACCAACUCUCCACCGCUUUCUAAAUACCACAAAUCCCAUAGAACAGGCUACAGUGUCCCUCACAGCCUGGCCCCGACCUACCUCUCUGGAGAUUUCUCUAGCUUAUACAGCCCUCAAUUCCACACCUCUAGUUUCUUAAAUUAUGGAAUUUAUGUACAAAUUCAUGUCAGCGAUUUUCCUAGACCUUGUGACUAUUUAUUUGGUUCUCAUUGCCUGUCACAGUUCUUAGCAUUUAGUUAGAGCUUAAUGCAUAUAUUUGAAUUAAUUAAUUUGCAUAUUUUACAAUAAGCCUCAAACUAUGCUGCACUAUGCUUAUGUAACUAUUUUAUUCAUUUCAGCUUUGUCUGUCUACUAUAUGAAAAGCCCUGGUCUGAUUAUUUAUCUAUUUUUACUAUAAUGGAGACUUUAAAAAACAUUGUUGUGUUCUUCCCUUCAUUUCUCCUCCUUUCAAAGUCAGUCUGUAUUUUUGAGUGAUUUUAACUAGUUUAGCAUGAUAAUAUCUUGGUGCAUAAGAAAAUGGGACCCCUCAACAAGUGGAAUUGUAAACUGAGGAGAGGUGAGCUACAGAUUAAAGGACGAAAUUGUGCGGUUCUCCCAGAAUGAUCACCGUAGGAGACUGGAGACAAAACAGUCUGACUCCAGGCAUAAAAAAGCCUUUGUGAUCUCAUUGGUUUCAAAGGAUUCCCCAUUAUAAACCAGUCAGACUGGCCUGGGGAUUAAGGAGCUCACCACUGUUAAUACUAUCAAUCAGCACAUCCUAGGAAUGGGAGCGCUAACCAAAAGCUGUCCUUGGCAUUUGGGGUGAGGAAGGCUGGGGUUCAGUAUGUCCUCCAGCUCAGUCGUAAACUGUUCACUUUUCCAGUUACUCUGGUGCUCACAGAACUGGGGCUGUUGCCUUGAUCCAAAGAACUGGUCUUCUCCAGACCCUUGAAGACUUCAAGCCUUCCUUGGGGUAAACAACGGAUUUCCCAGUAUGGAGCAUAGGAGGUUUUAUGGGCUUUCUGUCUUCCUGAACUAUGUAAAAAAUAGCCCUGCCGAAAAUUGCAAUACUUCUCAAACACCUGUCCUUGGUUUCCUGCUUGUCUCUCUCCAUAAUCUUUACCUGGACAGCUUCAUCUACCUUUAGAACUGUCAGCAGAAUUUCUGUGUAGACAAAUAAAAAAUGUGUGCCUCAGGGCUGGUCUUCUCAUAAACCUCCAGAUCCAUAUUGCUAGCAUUCUGCUUGACAGCUCUCUCAGGGUGACCUCGUUACAUUCGAAUCUGAGAUCCUAUGCCCUAUUGACCGAAGCCAGCGACUCUGCUUUCUUCUGGGGAUCCCUGGCAUGCCUGACACAUCCCUAAGCUCUCUGCUUUUCCUCAUCCUCCUUAUCCCAUUGGCGGCCGCCAUCUGCCAAUGUUGUCUUUGUAAUACUUUUACUUAUCUCCCUUCUUAUUGUUUCUACCUUAGAUGUUUAUGCCCUAUUACUUCUCACCUAGAUGAUUAUAGUCAUUGUUUAAUCUGCUCUCCUGACUUUCAAGGCCAUCUCUUCCUCAAAACCUUUUAGCUUAUAUUUGGAAUGAAUCUCUCUGUCCUGAGCAUUUAUCAGUCUUUAUGUGUAUCCUGUUUAUGACCCUUAUCACUCAGUACUUAUUCAUUCAUUCAUGUAUUCAACAAGUAUUCAUUGAACAUUUAUUAUGAGCCAGGUACUGUGCUAGGAAAACAAUGGGGAGCAAAAUGGAUAAAAUACCUACCCCCUGGAGCUUACGGUCUAGUGGGAUGACGUCCACUAAUCAAAUAAUUACAAACAUCACAAAGAAAAUGUGUCGUUCCCAAAUGAAACGAGUCCCUGGAAGGAAGAUUACAGAAUGUAUCAGAACUCACGUGUCCCACCUCUCGCUAAAGGGAAUGCAGGAGUAGGAUUCAUCCUGUGCCCUCAGAGCCUAGCCCAGAGCCGUGCCUAUGAGGCGUUUAAUAAGUUUUGGUUGAAGGAGCAGUUUCCUCUCCUUCUGAUCCAUGACACUUUCUGUGUUGCACGGUAUUGGAUAGAAUACCCAGCAGGUGCUUCCUCGGAGGCUGAACUCAACGCGCCGCCACUUACUCUAUUUGUUUCUCUUUCUAUUACCACAGAUCCGAGGGGCAUCUCUCUCCAAAUGCACCGAUUUCUCUGCCGGCAUGACAACAUGUUAAUCCCCGUGCUUCUAGCAGUGUUAUCAAGAACAUUCUUUACUGUUCUUACUCUCACUCAUAAUACGCUCUUCUCACCAGCACAAGCCCCUCGUCCUUCCUUGUAGCUCAUACUGUUUGCUGAGGAUGUAAAACAACAUUAUGUCUCUCACAUCAGGGGGCACCUGUGUCAUCCCCCACCAUCCUUUGUGUCAUUUUCCUACUGCCUCCCCAUCUCUGGAGUGAUUUGGGUGUUCCUUCUGCAUCCUUCUAAUUUCUGCCUUGUUGCUCUUUCAUAAGCUUCUGUUUGUGAUCUUGUCAUUUCUGGAGUCAGCCUUUAGCUGGAACAGUGAGUGACCCAUGUCUCCUGGUCUGUUUCUCUCUCCCUCUCUCUCUCUCUCACUGUGCUGUUACAUAAUUCUUUUGCAAGAAGCACUCUCAGACACAGAAUCUCAGGUAUAAUUUUUUUUUUUUUUUGGGUAUGUGUUGUUUGUUUUUGGCUUGGAGUGGAGAGGGAAUGGAAAAGAUGACCUUUUUCAUCAUGGUAGGGAAAGAAAGACUAUAAAAAACAAACCCAACAACAGAGAAUGUGUUAUAUAGGAAAAAAUGGAAUAUCUAGCAUGUAGAGAAAUACAGAAACAUCAUUUUGAAGACAUUUUAGUGACCUGGAAAUACAAUAUAAUGUUAAGUAAAAAAGCAUUUUGAUCACUAUAUUGUAAAUAUUGUGUAUUUACAUAUAUGUAUGGGGAAAAUACUGGACAUGUAUACCAAAGUGUUACUAGUGGUUUCCUCUGGGUGAUGGAAUUUUCAUUUUUAUACUCUUCUAUACAUUUUUUAAGAUUUUACUUAUUUACUUGAGAGAGAGAGAGAG